rnacentral:rRNA from 1 species
UACGAAGGGUGCAAACUUGCUCGGAAUUAUUGGGCGUAAAGCGCACGUAGGCGGCUUAGUAAGUUGGAUGUGAAAAUCCCUCGGCUUAACCAAGGAAGUGCAUCCAAAAACUACUGAGCUUUGAGUACUAAAAGAGGAUCGCGGAAUUCCCGGUGUAGAGGUGAAAUUCGUAGAUAUCGGGGAGGAACACCGGUGGCGAAGGCGGCUUCCUGGACCGACACUGACGCUGAGGCGCGAAAAGCUAGGGGGAGCAAACGGGG